ACACUUCUUAAACACAUCUCUUGACCGGGGUGUUCUCACCAUGCCCUUUCUACAAACAAAAAGUCCUACAAGAGUUGGAGCCAUCCUCUCCUCAUCUUCUACUUUCUGCCUUCUUCUGGGACACGCUAUUGAUCACGAAGUAUCUUAUCCUUGAAAAAUCUCCUCUCUUCAACUCGAGUACUACUGCAGAAAGCAGCAACUUGGCGGCCUUUUAUGGAUGGGUGUUACUGAAGUUAGGACAAAUCUAUAAUAAGUUCAUUUCCUCUAAGAUGUCUACCCAGAAGGACAAUACUUAAUUGGGCACAUAUACUCUAUUGGAUCUAUAUGCUCAUGACUUUAUAAGUAGGCAUUCUGCAUGUAUGUGCAAAACAAAAUAGAACUUAGGAGGAUAAAGCAUCCUGUAAAAUGUGGGACUUAAGACUGUAUCAGGGAAAGGAGAAGAAAAGAAAAAUAUAAAAUCUGAUUUUUAAAAUUAUGACUACUGGAGUGUGCAGAGGUUUUCAAAUGACUUGUUGGUGAAUUGUAAACCUAUAAAAUGUGUGAAGCCAUUUUAUAAAGAAAA
rnacentral:lncRNA from 1 species